rnacentral:rRNA from 1 species
GAUGAACGCUGGCGGCGUGCCUAAUACAUGCAAGUCGAACGCACAGCGAAAGGUGCUUGCACCUUUCAAGUGAGUGGCGAACGGGUGAGUAACACGUGGAUAACCUACCUCAAGGUUGGGGAUAACAUUUGGAAACAGAUGCUAAUACCGAAUAAAACUUCGUAUCGCAUGAUACAAGGUUAAAAGGCGCUACGGCGUCACCUAGAGAUGGAUCCGCGGUGCAUUAGUUAGUUGGUGGGGUAAAGGCCUACCAAGACAAUGAUGCAUAGCCGAGUUGAGAGACUGAUCGGCCACAUUGGGACUGAGACACGGCCCAAACUCCUACGGGAGGCUGCAGUAGGGAAUCUUCCACAAUGGGCGAAAGCCUGAUGGAGCAACGCCGCGUGUGUGAUGAAGGCUUUCGGGUCGUAAAGCACUGUUGUAUGGGAAGAACAGCUAGAGUAGGGAAUGACUUUAGUUUGACGGUACCAUACCAGAAAGGGACGGCUAAAUACGUGCCAGCAGCCGCGGUAAUACGUAUGUCCCGAGCGUUAUCCGGAUUUAUUGGGCGUAAAGCGAGCGCAGACGGUUGAUUAAGUCUGAUGUGAAAGCCCGGAGCUCAACUCCGGAAAGGCAUUGGAAACUGGUCAACUUGAGUGCAGUAGAGGUAAGUGGAACUCCAUGUGUAGCGGUGGAAUGCGUAGAUAUAUGGAAGAACACCAGCGGCGAAGGCGGCUUACUGGACUGUAACUGACGUUGAGGCUCGAAAGUGUGGGUAGCAAACAGGAUUAGAUACCCUGGUAGUCCACACCGUAAACGAUGAACACUAGGUGUUAGGAGG